CCUACGGGGGACAGCAGUGAGGAAUAUUGGUCAAUGGACGCAAGUCUGAACCAGCCAUGCCGCGUGCAGGAAGACGGCUCUAUGAGUUGUAAACUGCUUUUGUACGAGGGUAAACGCAGAUACGCGUAUCUGUCUGAAAGUAUCGUACGAAUAAGGAUCGGCUAACUCCGUGCCAGCAGCCGCGGUAAUACGGAGGAUUCAAGCGUUAUCCGGAUUUAUUGGGUUUAAAGGGUGCGUAGGCGGUCGGAUAAGUUAGAGGUGAAAUCCCGAGGCUCAACUUCGGAAUUGCCUCUGAUACUGGUAGGCUAGAGAGUAGGUGAGGUAGGCGGAAUGUAUGGUGUAGCGGUGAAAUGCAUAGAGAUCAUACAGAACACCGAUUGCGAAGGCAGCUUACCAAGCUACUUCUGACGUUGAGGCACGAAAGCGUGGGGAGCAAACAGGAUUAGAUACCCCAGUAGUC
rnacentral:rRNA from 1 species